rnacentral:misc_RNA from 1 species
GACAGAGGGUGCAAGCGUUGUUCGGAAUCAUUGGGCGUAAAGCGCACGUAGGCGGCAGCGUAAGUCGAAUGUGAAAACCCUGGGCUUAACCUAGGAAGUGCAUUCGAAACUGCGUUGCUCGAGUCCCGGAGAGGGUGGUGGAAUUCCCAGUGUAGAGGUGAAAUUCGUAGAUAUUGGGAGGAACACCAGUGGCGAAGGCGGCCACCUGGACGGAGACUGACGCUGAGGUGCGAAAGCGUGGGGAGCAAACAGG